UUUUUUUUUUUUUUUUUUUUUUUUUUUUUGCGAUAAGGAUGAAUAAAUUAUAAGUUAAUCUACGAUACACAAACUAUGCUUUUCAUCAUUGCUCGUUUCAUCACUAUUAGUAAUCUUUUUAAUUGAGUUCAGACAGUAAAUCGUCUUGUUAACGCACGAACAACUUCAAGACGUCACUUGAGAGCCACAAACCAAAGAAAUGAAAUCUUAUAGCGUUUGCUCACAAACUGCAAACGGGGGCGUCGUUGCUAGGUUUGUUACAGAUUUAGCAACACGAAGUAAGAGUGUGCAAAAUCGAAAAAUUUCGAUUUAUCGAUUAAAUUAAAAUUGAAUUCGGAAUUUUCGAAAUCAGUAAUUCGAAAUUCGGCAUUGAAAUCGAAAUUUUCGAUUUUGAAUUAUGUGACUUUGGUUCGAAUUCGGUAUUGGAGUUUUUGAAAUCGGAAAUAGAAAUAGAAAUUUUCGAUUUCAAUUUCGUUUUAUAAUAUAUAUAUAUAUUGUUAUAUAUAGUAAUAUUUUUUUAUAAUAUAUGUAAUAUAAAAUUUAUAUUACAUAACAAUACAUCUAACAAAAAGAAAAAAAAAAGGGAAAAAGGUUUCCGAAUUCGGUGAAUUUGAAAUUGAAUUCGAAUUCCGAACUAGUGACUUUGAAAUCGAAUUCGGUCGAUAAUUCUAUUGCCAAAUUUUCGAAAAAUUUCGAAUUUAAAAUCGUUGCACACUCCUAACACGAAGGAUUGUCACUUGUGCAGGCCUUCCUUGUGCUCAAACUUCAAAGCGUGGGAUAGUGAGUUGGAGUGGCUUGUUAAUUUGGGAUUGAGAUGAGAAAAAAGGUGGGUAUAUUAGUUAGUCAUGGUCUGGUUCUUUUUCUUUUUUUUUUUUUCCUUUUUUCAACCAAAUCGAGGAGAUAAAAAGCUGAAUGAUCCUGGCAACGAGACCAUUCUGCCCCUAACAAUAACCAUUACUUUUUUAGUUAAUUAUGAUAAAGAUUUUUCGGUCGACUUCCAAACUCUUAUAUUUUCCUUACGGUAGCAUUUUGGCUUCAACUUUAAAACUUUUUUAUUUUCUCUACGUAGAGUUAGGAGUCAUCCCUUAAGCUAAAAAAAAAAAAAAGGUGGGGCCUAAAGUUGAGAGGAGUCACAGUUGAGGUGAAUAUUGUUGGUGACUCAAAGAAGCCGCGUUAGAUUGCAGAUGGCAGCAGAGGUUGCUUGGCAGCGUUUUCCAUCGAUAUAUAUAUAUAUAUACACACACACACACACACACAACAAUCCUAACGCGUUUAGUUUCUAAUGUUUUUUUGUUUUAUGCAGCGAAUUGUUUCUCAAACUUUAUGUGAUCCACUCAUGAAGUUUGAGUCACACUCCCUCAAGUCCACUCACCAGUACUGCACUGCUCCUAUUCUUCCCAACCAUUUGCAUUAUAUGCAUUAUAUACAUUUAAUGGUGAUAAAUUUGGUGUUGUACAUCUAGGCCAGGGACAAAAACCCGUGACAAUGCCAAAAUCUAUAAUUUAUUCUCGGGGGAGCAGACCUAUCUUCUUCUCCUUCUUCUUCUUCUUAUUCUCUCUCUCUCUCUCACUCUCUACUUGCUUGUUCAAUUGUUCCCAUACUUUCUUUUUUUUUGGGCUUACAAACCAAGCCAGCAUUUUUACAACCUGCAACUAUCAAUUCAGAUGAGCAGUCUAUAAAUGAGGAUAUGUUCUUCUCAAUACUUUAACAACUCUUUUUGUUUAUCUACUUCCAGCUAUGGAACUAACAGGGGAUUAAUGGAUUUAAGUUUGGAAGAAGAAUAUAUUCUAGUUGUUAACUCCCCAAAAAGCGAGAAAGAACUCCCACUUUCUCCACCCCAAAGGAGAGAAACAGAAAGGAAGAGUGAUAUGAUAGUGAAGUGAUAAGAAAUGUUUUCAAUAUACUGUUUCAUCACGGAAUGCAAAAGAUUCUGUGUGGUGAGAUAUAAUCCUGCUUAUGGUUGGAUUUAUGGAUAAUAUUUGGAUCCUGAAAUAUUUUUUUACUGUCAUCGCAGGGCUAUUCAAGUUUUCUAGUUCUGCUGCAACAUUUUUCUCGUGGCCCAACUUAAAUUUGGUGAACUGAAAACUUUGGUUGACAAAGAAAUCAGCCAUCGAGUCUCGACUCCGUUCUGGUUUUGCCGCAGUGAAUGGCAAGAACGAUCACUAAACUAUCUAAAAUAGCAAGAUUUGAUCAUUGAACCCUUUUUUUGUUUACCAUAAAGAUCAUUCAACUCCUUAAAACGGGUAUUUUGGGUCACUUUUUGCUAAACCGACCGGAAAUGAUUUACAAUUUAGGACAUUUUUACCUCUGAAAACCUAGAAUACCAGGUUAAAUGUGCUUCAUUGCGAUUGGUUUACUGGUUAAAUUAGUCAACAUGAUCCAAAAGAUCGAUUUUAAAGGGUUAAGUGACCUUUUUGGCCAAAGAAAAAGUUUAGUGACCGGACCAUGCCAUUUUAAAUAGUUUAGUGAUUAUUUUAACCGUUUACUCUUCCAAAUAGGACAGGCUAAAUACAAAAUAAGUUACAGUAGCAUUUUUUAAAAUAUGAUUAACUAAUUUAUUGCUUUUCUCACGGGAAGUGAACAAGUAAUAGUCCAUAAUCAAUUUAGUAUAAAUUGGGCACGGUGACGUCUUGACUGUCCCUUACUGAAUUUAAUUAUUUAACGAGAUUUUGCACCAACAAAUUUUUUUUUUUUUUGGAGACCUUAAUUGACAUUCAAUGUCCUCAAAGAAGCAUUAAUAUUCUCAAUGGAAAACGACAUGUAAGUAGCACUCAUCACAAAAAUCAUUCAUCUUGAAAGGAAAGAUUUAAGAAUUCCUAGUCUACAUCUCCAAUUUUUUAAACCAUGCUCUUUCUCUCUUGAAUCGCAUCAAGGGUAUAAGCUAACAACCAUCAAUCCCAUGCUUUUUUUUUGACUCAAUUAAGUGAAACUUAUACAGAUGAAUAAUCGUUACCUCGCAACAUGUCUUUUCUUCUUUGCUAAUUAGGAAAACAAAAUAAUGUUUUAUCUCUUAGCCACGUUCAUAAGAAAGAAAUCCCGAGUUGUUUUCAUGUGCAAGUCAUAUUGACUUUCUAAACCAAAAGACAAACUUGUGGCUAUGUUCAACUAUGUGUACUAUUCUCUACGAAGCAAUUUGAACACUCAUAAUUUAUUAGGACAAGCAAAAUUAUUAGUGGAUCAUUUCCCCGGUUUUGCACUCUGUUUGGUAAUUUUCUUCGAUCUUACAUCACUUGGGAUCCUCGGUGACAUGUUUUCUAUGCCAAUCCAAUGCCAUCAAAACAUGUCACCGAGGAUCUCAAGUGAUCUUACAUACGGCUACUAGCAUGCGAAAGGGACUAUUUGAGAUCUUACGCCAUAAAAAUUGUAGUAUACUCCUAUUUCAAUUAUAUCCACAUAUCCAAGGCAGCGUCAUAAUCGUUCAGAGCUGGAUAGUUAUCUGAUUCAACAACAUGCAUUCAUGGCAUUAUCCACAUUUUAAUAAACCAUUGUCCCUUAACUUAAAUUAUUGUAUAUCAUCCUGAAGCAGCAGAAAUUAAAAACAAGCUCAAAUUCGUCGGGAGGUAAUCAAACAAUCGGUAUCUGGGAAGGUCUUAGCAUUAAUGUUGCUGCCUGCCUGCUAUUAUUUUCUGAGGUCAAAUCAUCACACUCGUACACCAAUUGGCUAUACGGCUGGCGAGCUAGGUUUGUUGCGUCUUAUUUUGAUGUUUUGGGUAUGUCGUAGAAGCAUGCAAGAGAAGAAGCACGAUUGGAGGCAAGAUUAGGCUGAUCAAAACGUUUUUUGAUUCAAGCAAACAGUUAGUUACUCAAAGAGCUUCUUGCCCUUUGUCAACCCCGAAUUGCUCGAGAGAGAGAGAGAGAGAGAGAAAAAGCUAAGAAAGAUUUAUUCACAAUACCAAACUUUUAUUUUGCUGGUUGACAUAUUUUAAAUGUACUCACCACGUGGCCAAUUUACAAAAUGUAUCUUCUUGGUAUUUAGAUUAAUUUUCUACAUACUAACAAUGAGAGCAUAUAUAGUACUCUUUCAAGUUUAGAUGCAUAAUAAUUGAUCUAAAUUUAAAUUUGAAAUUCAAGUUUUACGCAUAUGUUAAUAUAACUCUGACGUGAUAGUGUAUACAUUAUCAAUAAUGUAUCCAAGAUUUAUCCUCAUUUUUUAAUCCAUGCAACAAAUACGACCAGUGAAGUAUCUCAUCCUUACUUCUAGCUAGCAAUCUUUUAGAGACAACAAUAACAUAUGUUUGCAUGAAAAGUUUGCUGCUCAGCAAUUGCACGAAAAUGGAGGCUGCUUUGAACAUGGAAGCCAGGUGACAUGUUUUAGAGAGAUGCGAAGAUUAGAGAUAAUUGUUGAGUUAAUUGAAAUUGUCAGACCUCUUUUAAUGUCUUUUUUCUGCGGAAGUACAAAUGGUUAGGUGGGAAUAAAUUACCCCUAAUCUAGUCGGCUCUGAAGCAUCUGGUGGCUUAGAAAAUAGUGUGAUACCAUUGAGUUCACAUCAGGCAUCCAUAGAUUCUUCUUUCAUAUGGUAAUUCAAAUUAGUUGAACACUCCUAACUUGGACAAUUAUGUGCUUCCAAGUUCGCUGAUAAAGCCAGCAAUGUUCCAAUUGCUCCUCAUAUUUGCUUUCCAAAAUUAUGGUUCCUGAUUGCUUUCGUACAUCCUAUUAUAUUCACCUAGUCCACUGUACCUCUGAGCCUUGAUUAAUUCCCAUAUGCUUCAACCAUUUCCUAGCAGGCAUUCACAUGCUUUACAUGCAGUUUUUGUCCACUGCAAAGGUUCGGUUCAGACAAAGAUAAUACAGAAGCAUCUCGCCCUUGAAAAUCUUAACCUCUCAAGUUGUGAACAACGAAUCUUUUUUAUUAAAGAAGUUCGCCAUUUCUUUUUGGCCCAUCAGAAAAGAGUUAACUAUUUUGGAAUCACUUAAUCCAGAAGAAACUUCUAAAAAAGAUGGUCCCUUUUAGCUUUGAAGAUGAACCAAUACUUUACUUCAGUUUAUUAGGGGGAUUUUUCCAAAAUACUACUGUGAAUGGUCCCUUCAGCCGUGCUUAUCAUCAUGAGCAUCCAUCCUCUCGUACAAAGCUAGCCAUUUCAUCUUGAUCCAUCCGACAGUGCGUAGAUUUUUCAACAGGUCCUUUGCUUGCUCGGUGCACAUGGGACUAUUCAAUGUCACUACUGCUAUUCGAUUCAAUUAGCAAAGAUGGUGUUGAACCACUACUCUGUAGUCUGUACAUGUAGGGCUUUCCAUCAAUGUAAAUUCUGCAUUUCGACCAUCAUCCUAUUAUCCCAGCACUGAUAACGUACGAUGUAUUUGUGAUAUGUACCAAUCUAAUCUAGGGAAAGGCACAAAAUUGAGUUGGAAUCCAAGAAUCUAAAAUGUUUACAAGUAACUAAAUCUUGCCAUGCUAUUUUCAGAGGUUUUCUUGGUAAAUGGUAGGUAGACCUCACUGGUGCUGCACAUUUUCCAGAUACACGUGAUAUUAACACAUGUAAUUAGGUAGUGCCAUAUCAGAAAAGAUACAAUUCUGCAACCUCGGAUACCAAAUACUUUUCGCUAUUACAACCGUUUUCUUGGUCCGACUAAGGAUACAUCAUUCGAUUGAAGAACUGCCUUUCAAAUUUGGUACCUCGCCUUCAUGCUUAGAGGCUGAGAGAAAAGUAUAUUGGCGUGCACGAAGUCUAGGACAAGGAAAAUGUGGCCGUGCACAAGGGGCAAAUUUCCUAGUGAUAAAUAAAAUCAGUGAAACUGCAAUCAGGUUUCAAUCAACUCACUUAAGAGACAAAGCGGAUUAUGUCCUGAAACAGGGUCACCGAACUCUUGGUGUAGAUACUAAUGAAUUGUUUCGAGGAAUUGGAUUAGUAGUUCUUAACAUGAAGGAUUGAUGCGGGCAUCAUUAAGCGCUUCAUCUGCAUGCUUUAGGAACCUGUAUUUGGACAUUGCAGGUAAGGAAUUUAUGACAGCCUAAACGAACAAGUUUACAAUUUCGCCUAUGAAUUUUUUGGGGUUGGUAGCCUCAAAAUUAGCAAAUGCGACAUUGAAUCUUCUGCAGACAAUCCUCAGACGGAAAUAAAAGCCGGUAAUUCGCGUACGAUCUAGUUGUGGCAUCUACUGACGGACAACCACUCUCUGUGAUCAUCAUUGAUUGCUUUCGGGUAAAGUGAAAAUCUAUGAUGAUAAAUCUCUCCAAAUUCUUCCCGUCAAGAAGGUAUGAAUCUAAAAAAUGGGUGUGUUUGAUUGGACGACAGAAUUUUCAAUUGUGUUCUGGGAAGUAGAGAUGGGGAUUCUGUUUUUCUUACGCAUUACAUGGCAUCAUAUGUACUACGUAUUUAUAUACUCCUACCGCAAAACAACGUUUAGGACCGCAUUAACAAGAGUUGAGUUGGCCCGUAUGAUCUGAACUGAUUUGACCUCUUCAUUGGUGCAGUUUGGUCCUAGACAACUGCAGCAGCUACUGUGUUGUACAUCUUCCCGCCUAGUCUCCACAUUUAAUCUCUGUCGUUUCAUCUGUCAAAACUUCCCCUUAAUAGCUACUCUCAUCUUCAGCCACUCCCGGCCCCAUCCCUCUUUGAGGCCUCCCCCCUCCCCUCAAACUGAUAUCAACCAGAAAAAAACCCCAAUUCUCAGAUGUACCAUCUGAAAACACAUUAAAACGUCACCAGCUUAUUUUAUUGAAUGGAUAUAGGUUGUUGAGUUUGACCUUGAAAUCGCCAUUGAUCAUGAUGUAUUCUGAGCAUUACAAUCCUGUAUUAUCAAAUCUUCGUACAAGCUCUAGGGCAUCAUUUCUUUACUAAAUUUAAGGUAACAAUCAUUUUCUGUUUCCUUUAUCGUUUUAAUCGAUCAGACCCUAAAACAAAAGGUAUCAACAAGCUUAUUGUAGAUUUUGACUUCAAAGUUCAAAUUAAGCCAGCCCAAGAUCAAGAGAUUGAGAUUCUUGUCACGCAAGAAGAUGCUUCUUGUUUGGCUUCUAAAUAACUGAAUAACAUUUGUUAUCCCCCCCAAACCAAGGAACAACUACAGCUAGCUGCGACUGCAACUCCACAUGGUGCAAGUGGCAAUGCUUAAACCUGACAGAGAUUCACCAAACUAAUUUUUAAACAUUAUAAACAAUUAAUAUCCAUUGUAGGACAGCCUACAUGUUUGUUUUUUUUCUUUUUUGUCUGAUUGUAAUUUUUGCCCGACAUUCAUUUCAUACUAUAGUAAAAUACAUGAGGAUUAUGUGCCAAGAAGAAGUAUAUGUGCUGCAUUUACUCUUGUUUAGUUAGUUGGCCUUAUUUUAUGAAACUCGGAGGAUAAUAUUAAACAAAAAUCUGCAGAUGCAAGUCAAUCUAGGUAUGUGUCUCAUGACAAUCCAUGAAUUGUGUGUCAUAAUAUCGUACUAGGAGAUUGAUUCUCUAAAACUAAAAGGGAUCGUUUUUAUCAGUUGCUUAAUGUUUUUUUUUUCUUGAUUCGUAGCGGAAACUGAUGAAAACUACGCAGUCCUGAAGUUUUGGUCCAUUUAGAUAAUCUGGUUAAGAGAAUCUACUAUAAAACACAUAGCCACAAUUAAGAUUCCAUCCUCGAAGAUGUUGCUGUUGGCUUCUGAAUCCGGCAUGUUCAUCGCACAUCCAUCUUUUCCGUAAAGGACAAAAUCAUUACAGCUUCAACUUGGCUUAAAUAUUGUUCAUAGCAGUUGGCUCCCACAUCAUAUCAUAUAUUUUUUGGCUCGCAGAUUAUUUUCCAACUCAGUGGCUAUGAGGUGUCCCUCAGGACCCAACAUGACAAAGAAGGGAGAGAGCAGACGAGGAAGAUCCAUAAACAUAACAGAAGUGCUAAUAAAUGUGUCUCACACACAGAACAAUUAAUGAUUACUUGGUUCAACCCUUAUAUUUCAAAUUAUUGUUGUGUUGUUCCCAAGCACUGUAUGUUGUAGUAGUAAACAUUUUUAGGCACGAUGGCCUUGAAAGUUUACAAGGUUUAUGCUCAAGUAAUUUGACUCUAUGCGAAAGCCAGUUCAGCAGGAAAAGUAGCAUGAUCCGGACUAAUCACUUACAACAAAGACCGACCAAAAACAAAAACAAAAAAACACACAUAAUUUCUCUUCAAGAAUCUUCGCGCUCCGCUGAUUGAUGUGAUCUUUUUGCCUAAACAACGAGAUGAAAAUUGACCAGGACAAGUGAGGUAAGCUUAGAGCAGUACAACAAGGUUGGUCAUAUUUCAGAGUCGGAUUACCAUAAAAAUGAAACCAGAUAACAUGCAAUCGCUGGUUCGCCUUUUUCAGCAUUUUAUACAGUUGCUCUUCCGGAGUAGUAGCACAUGGUUGUUGAUAAUACCUCCCAACCCACAAAACAUUCGCAGUCCAUGAUUUUUGCUCAAGUAUAUCAUUCUUAGGGUUGUCAAAAACGUGCCAUCUAUGCAUCUUUUAAAGCGUCUUCUGCUUUUGCCUUUUAUUUGGGCAAGAAUACACAGGAUUGGGGGAUGAGCAUAAUAAUUCUUUGAUCAAAAGUAGCACCUCAUGGGUUCGUUUAAUAAAUUUCGCACAAGCAUCGAUCCAGUCUAAACAAGAAAACGAAAAGCCCAUCAGGGCGGAAGAUUGUGUACCCCUUUACGAUAAUUUCAAAUCAUUUCGACACCGGAUGUUAUUCUUUGUGGGAUCCAACAUGAAAGCACCAGGACUGGAGCAUAUGGCUUUUCUCAUGCAAUUAGCACAAAAAAAAAAAAAAAGAAGACUUGGUAACUGAUGGUGGCAAGUGCAAUUAUUCAGGCAGCAGGUACGUGUAUUAUUGAAUAAAACUUGGACCCCAAACAUUUUUUCUGAAAAAUCAUGAUCACUGACGCUGAACUGUUCAUUAUCAUGCCUUUGAAUUUUCUUUUUCCAUGGGGCGUGCUUGUUUCCCUUAUCAUGAUGAUAAAAAUUUAAAGGAGAGAAGUGGAAUAAUACUCGAGAGCGCAGAGUCACUCGACAGCAGAGUUGAUGAUCCGCACCACAUACCAUAACAUACCCUAAGAGGGAGGCGGGGAACUUGAAACAAUCUAAUCAAAAUCUUAUUAAUGAGCAGCAGCUUGAUUCAUGGCCAUUUUCUUAGAUGUCGAGUCCGAUAGCUGGCCUAAAAGGUCCACAAAUACUCACUGGAAUAUGAGUAAACAAAGUCAAGAAACGUACUGAACAAUGUGAUCUCUCAUAUCAUGAGACAUAACUCAAAGUUCAAAAUCAUUCAGACAGGAACACUAAUUUUCUAUCCAAAUCGUUCGAACAAAUUAAAAGAAGAAGAAGAAUUAGUGAGGAUUAAACAUAUUAGAACCUAUAUGAUGUUGCUCUUGCAUUUGCAUGACGUAACCGUGUCCAAAUUUUGCUGCAAUCUGUUUUAGUAUCCCGUUUAUUAACUUAUUAUCCACGUUUGUCAAUGGAGAAUAUAUAAAGUUUUAGAUUCUGACGUUGCUUUUAACUUUUUUUAUUUUUUACUUUCCUUCCUUCAUGCAUACUUUUUUCAGUGCUUUCGCUUUUUAUUUAUUAGCAUGAGCAGUAAGCAGUGGUUCGUUUAUUUCAAUGGCAUACGGAAUUAGGGGAGCCAGACACUUACUCUUCAACACAGAAUUGCAAAAUUAAUUAAUCAGAGGUUUAGAUACGGACUAAGGAUGCUUUUCCUAACAAUUUAAUUAAUUUCGCCAAUAACACUUAUCAAAAGCGUCGGUUGGGACUUUGCCCUUUCGUUUUCUUAGUUACCAAUUUCUCACGAUGUUCAAUCCCAAAAAACAUGUUUUACUAAAUACAUAUAAUCCAAAUAAAACCUCUUUUUCUCAAUAAAUACACUAUCCAGACUCGUAUUCACUCACUCUCCAACUGAUUAAGAAUUGCAAAAGUAAUUAUCGAAGGCGUCGGUAGGGACUAAGGAUGCAUUUCCUUUUUCUUUUUUUUUGUAAAUAAAUAAAAUCCAUACUCAUAUUUCACUCUCCAACUAACAGUUGAGUUGCAAAUGUAGUUACCAAAGGUGUCGUUAGGGCCGUGGAUGCAUAUGUCCUAGCAAUUAAAUUAAUUUUGCCUAUCACAAUUAUAUUCGUUUUCGCAAUCGUCAUGAUGAUGUCUAUUAUUCUUUUCGAAGUGUCCCUUUUGUCUUUAUUGCUCAUCUGGCUUGGAGGGACUUCAAGACGGAUUUGCCACUACCAUGUCCCCGGAAUGUCCGGGAGUUAAAUGGGUAGUGGGCCUCAGUUUACACAACACGGUGGGCCUUUAUUAAGGGAAACCCGAUCCGCAUCCCGCGCCCCUCUCGCUUCAUCAAGCUGUACUCUAAUGUCAGACUUAUAUUACCAUAGAAAUUUACGGUCAAUAACUAAUACUAAUAUAUUUUCAGCUUGGAUUUGCAUAUCAAAAAGUUUGGGACUCGUUUGGCUGAUGGACUUGGGGUCGUGACCUAAUAGCCUCACACCCUUGGGAUAUUUCAUCCAUGCUGAACCAGCUGCCCAAUCCCUUUUCAAUUUCUUCCCCCAAAGGAUUGGGCUUGAAACCCAAUAGAUCCUCUGACAUGACCAGUGAUGUAUGCUGCCAACUUCAUCCUCCUUUAUCCUGGCAGAAAUGUAACGAGUACAAUUUGAAUGAUCUAAAGGCUGUAGACUAAACCCGCAAACAAACCCAAUAACGGCCGUAUAAAACCUAAACCUAUCAGACAUUUUCCAAACCUAAGACUCAAAUAAAGGCCCUACCGUUGAUCUUUUCUAAUUACAACUCCACCUCCAAUUACCAUUAUUCUCUCCUGCAAUAUCUGACCCUAUAAAUGGUAUUUCAGGUCAUUCAUAUCAACUGGAGCAUGAAAGGAAAUUAACCAAGGAAAAGAAAAGAAAGGAAGCACACGGCUAAGCAAUAAAUUUAUAGUAAGAGGUUAGCAAGACCCAAAUUUUGACACAUUGGUCAUAACACAAGCGAAUACUUACCAGAAAGGAAGCUCAUAAAAGCAAGUUCUUACAGGCUAACUACAGGAUUACCAAUAUUCCCAAGUUCCAUCGAGCAGCAUGCUCAGCUGAAGAAGACAGCUUGCUUGGAUACAACCAAUACUUUCCUUAAUACUGAUGCAGCAUGGUAGUAU
rnacentral:lncRNA from 1 species